rnacentral:rRNA from 1 species
UCGAACGAGAGGACAUGGGAAGCUUGCUUCCUAUGAAAUCGAGUGGGCAAACGGGUGAGUAACGCGUAAACAACCUGCCCUUCGGAUGGGGAUACAGCCGGAAACGGCUGCUAAUACCGAAUACGAUCUUUUCGUCGCAUGACGGAAAGAAGAAAAAGGAUGGCCUCUAUACAAAGCUAUCGCCGAAGGAGGGGUUUGCGUCUGAUUAGCUGGUUGGAGGGUAACGGCCAACAAGGCGACGAUCAGUAGCCGGUCUGAGAGGAUGAACGGCCACAUUGGGACUGAGACACGGCCCAGACUCCUACGGGAGGCAGCAGUGGGGAAUCUUCCGCAAUGGACGAAAGUCUGACGGAGCAACGCCGCGUGAGUGAAGAAGGUCUUCGGAUUGUAAAGCUCUGUUAUACGGGACGAAAAAGACGGAUGCCAACAGUAUCCGUCCGUGACGGUACCGUAAGAGAAAGCCACGGCUAACUACGUGCCAGCAGCCGCGGUAAAU